UCCUUUCAAGAUAACUCAGUUUCCUUUUUAAAUAAUUUUAAUGGAAAUCUUUCCAAAUAGAAGAUUACACACUUUUCGAAGGCUUCCUCAGGGCCCGACAACAGAUUUCGUUUGGCCUUCUGUGUGGUUGUUUGAAAUUGGCUUGAUGAGCAUCUGAUACCAUGAUCCCCACAGUCCUGCCGUGGUGUCUGCUUUUAGCAUCUUUCAGUAGCAUCUUUGGGCUUCCCUGGUGACCCGAUGGUAAAGAAUCUGCCUGCACUGCAGGAGACCUGGGUUCCAUCCAUGAGUGGGGAAGAUCCGCUGGGGAGAGGAACGGCAACCUGUUCCCGUGUUUUUGCCUGGAGAAUUCCAUGGACAGACGAGCCUGCUACACCAUGCGCUUACAUUGGAGCUGGCACUCAGUUUUGUCUAAUGACUCUAUCUAUUACGUCACUGGCUUCUCACAGGGGACAUCCGACUGAGGGAGGCAGAGACUGUCCUUCCAUAAAUCACUCCAUUUACGUUGCUUCUUAAAUCCUUGAGCCUGCGCCGUAGUUUUCAUGUCUCCUUGCUGUUGUCGUGAAAUCACCUCUGACCAAGUUUCUAAUUUUUGACUUUUACUCUUCUCUGUGUUAAGAAACCUGGAAACCAUACUUCAUAGAAUUAUGUAGCAAGAAAGUUGGGGUCUGAAUGAGAGAUGGGACUUGUUGGUUGUUUGGAUUAAAGUGGUCCACUUCAGACCCUGGAGUCAGGAGGGAGGUCCUCUGCACUACUUGGGGGGGUCGAGCUGAGAAAGCCCAGAACCUCCAGUCAGCCAGCUCUUUCCUUCUGCAGAGCGGAGCUGGCUUGCUUUUGACUCAAUGUCCUUUCAAUGCAUCAGGUCCAGUUAUCAUGGGCAAAACAAAAGCACAUGCUCUUAUUUCAUAUUUGUUGAUACUGACAGGUGACAGGAAGACAAUAACUGCUUGUUAGAAUUUAACAUGCUUAAGCAUUUAGUUGGGGUUUCCCAGGUGGUGCAAGUGGUAAAGAAGCCCCCUGCCAAUUCAGGAGACACAAGAGACACAGUUUUGAUCCUUGGGUCUGGAAGAUCCCCUGGAGGAGGGCAGGGCAACAUAUUUCAGUAUUCUGGCUUGGAGAAUCCCAUGGACAGAGGAGCCUGGUGAUCCACAGCAUUGCAAAGAAUCAGACACAACUGAAGCAACUUUGCAAGCAUACAUUUAAUUAAUCUUUUACAAAUUAAUCUUAGACUUUCAAAAAUAUGUAACUCUAAGCAUAUCCUUGGAGCUUGCUACAGUAGUUGAAAAAGGUUUCUAAGAAUUGUUUGUACCUCUGGGUAUAUCUUCAUAAGAGACUUUUGAUAGAAUUUGUUUAAACCUUAUGAAAAC
rnacentral:lncRNA from 1 species